CCUACGGGAGGCAGCAGUGAGGAAUAUUGGUCAAUGGGCGUAAGCCUGAACCAGCCAAGUCGCGUGAGGGAUGAAGGUUCUAUGGAUCGUAAACCUCUUUUAUAAGGGAAUAAAGUGUGGGACGUGUCCUGUUUUGUAUGUACCUUAUGAAUAAGGAUCGGCUAAGUCCGUGCCAGCAGCCGCGGUAAUACGGAGGAUCCGAGCGUUAUCCGGAUUUAUUGGGUUUAAAGGGUGCGUAGGCGGCCUUUUAAGUCAGCGGUGAAAGUCUGUGGCUCACACAUAGAAUUGCCGUUGAAACUGGGAGGCUUGAGUAUGUUUGAGGCAGGCGGAAUGCGUGGUGUAGCGGUGAAAUGCUUAGAUAUCACGCAGAACCCCGAUUGCGAAGGCAGCCUGCCAAGCCAUGACUGACGCUGAUGCACGAAAGCGUGGGGAUCAAACAGGAUUAGAUACCCUGGUAGUC
rnacentral:rRNA from 1 species